GACGAACGCUGGCGGCGUGCCUAAUCCAUGCAAGUAGAACGCACAGUUUAUACCGUAGCUUGCUACACCAUAGACUGUGAGUUGCGAACGGGUGAGUAACGCGUAGGUAACCUGCCUGGUAGCGGGGGAUAACUAUUGGAAACGAUAGCUAAUACCGCAUAAUAUUAAUUAUUGCAUGAUAAUUAAUUGAAAGGUGCAAUUGCACCACUACCAGAUGGACCUGCGUUGUAUUAGCUAGUAGGUGAGGUAACGGCUCACCUAGGCGACGAUACAUAGCCGACCUGAGAGGGUGAUCGGCCACACUGGGACUGAGACACGGCCCAGACUCCUACGGGAGGCAGCAGUAGGGAAUCUUCGGCAAUGGACGAAAGUCUGACCGAGCAACGCCGCGUGAGUGAAGAAGGUUUUCGGAUCGUAAAGCUCUGUUGUAAGAGAAGAACGGGUGUGAGAGUGGAAAGUUCACACUGUGACGGUAUCUUACCAGAAAGGGACGGCUAACUACGUG
rnacentral:rRNA from 1 species